rnacentral:rRNA from 1 species
UACGUAGGGUGCGAGCGUUACUCGGAAUUACUGGGCGUAAAGCGUGCGCAGGCGGCGCGCUAAGACAGGUGUGAAAGCCCCGAGCUUAACUUGGGAAUUGCGCUUGUGACUGGCGUGCUGGAGUGUGGCAGAGGGAGGUGGAAUUCCACGUGUAGCAGUGAAAUGCGUAGAGAUGUGGAGGAACACCGAUGGCGAAGGCAGCCUCCUGGGCCAGCACUGACGCUCAUGCACGAAAGCGUGGGGAGCAAACAGG